rnacentral:misc_RNA from 1 species
GAAAUGCGAUAAGUAAUGUGAAUUGCAGAAUUCAGUGAAUCAUCGAAUCUUUGAACGCACAUUGCGCCCCCUGGUAUUCCGGGGGGCAUGCCUGUUCGAGCGUCAUUUCACAACUCAAGCCUCGCUUGGUAUUGGGCGACGCGGUCCGCCGCGCGCCUCAAAUCGACCGGCUGGGUCUUUCGUCCCCUCAGCGUUGUGGAAACUAUUCGCUAAAGGGUGCCGCGGGAGGCCACGCCGUAAAACAACCCCAUUUCUAAGGUUGACCUCGGAUCAGGUAGGGAUACCCGCUGAACUUAAGC